rnacentral:rRNA from 1 species
UACGUAGGGUGCGAGCGUUAGUCGGAAUUACUGGGCGUAAAGUGUGCGCAGGCGGCCGCGCAAGUCGAGUGUGAAAGCCCCGGGCUUAACUUGGGAAUUGCGCUCGAAACUACGUGGCUGGAGUGUGGCAGAGGAAGGUGGAAUUCCACGUGUAGCGGUGAAAUGCGUAGAGAUGUGGAGGAACACCAAUGGCGAAGGCAGCCUUCUGGGCCAACACUGACGCUCAUGCACGAAAGCGUGGGGAGCAAACAGG